GACGAACGCUGGCGGCGUGCUUAACACAUGCAAGUCGAGCGGUAAGGCCCUUUCGGGGGUACACGAGCGGCGAACGGGUGAGUAACACGUGAGCAACCUGCCCUUCUCUUUGGAAUAAGCGUUGGAAACGACGUCUAAUGCCGAAUAUGACCCCCUGUCGCAUGGUGGGGGGUGGAAAGCUCUGGCGGAGAAGGAUGGGCUCGCGGCCUAUCAGCUUGUUGGUGUGGGUAAUGGCCCACCAAGGCGACGACGGGUAGCCGGCCUGAGAGGGUGACCGGCCACACUGGGACUGAGACACGGCCCAGACUCCUACGGGAGGCAGCAGUGGGGAAUAUUGGACAAUGGGCGAAAGCCUGAUCCAGCAACGCCGCGUGAGGGAUGACGGCCUUCGGGUUGUAAACCUCUUUCAGCAGGGACGAAGCGGGAGUGACGGUACCUGCAGAAGAAGGACCGGCCAACUACGUGCCAGCAGCCGCAGUAA
rnacentral:rRNA from 1 species